GGUUUCAGUUAUUAACUAAUUUAAUAUUAACUUUAAUUCCCACUCGCAGUUGGUAAUCUUUUAUACUAAUGUUAUGUAUCAGAAGAUCUCUCGCCCUCCUACACCUUAUACAGGUAAACGUUUUUGCGCUCCUUCAUCUACUGGACAGCCUAAAAUUAAUACAAUUACAAUGAGGUGCGUGUUCAUGGACUUAUGUGUUAUUAAGAUUGAGACGGCUGAAACUGGAUGUGUGGACAAGAUCGCUCGGGUGCCCAUAGAGCUUUGAGAUCACCUCUCUUCUUUCCCAGUGUCAAGAA
rnacentral:misc_RNA from 1 species